rnacentral:rRNA from 1 species
UGGGGAAUAUUGCACAAUGGGCGCAAGCCUGAUGCAGCCAUGCCGCGUGUAUGAAGAAGGCCUUCGGGUUGUAAAGUACUUUUAGCGAGGAGGAAGGCAUUAAGGUUAAUAACCUUGGUGAUUGACGUUACUCGCAGAAGAAGCACCGGCUAACUCCGUGCCAGCAGCCGCGGUAAUACGGAGGGUGCAAGCGUUAAUCGGAAUUACUGGGCGUAAAGCGCACGCAGGCGGUCUGUCAAGUCGGAUGUGAAAUCCCGGC